UUGACCUCGGAUCAGGUAGGAAUACCCGCUGAACUUAAGCAUAUCAAUAAGCGGAGGAAAAGAAACCAACAGGGAUUGCCUCAGUAACGGCGAGUGAAGCGGCAACAGCUCAAAUUUGAAAU
rnacentral:rRNA from 3 species